AGACCCACCAUGCCGUGUCCUCUUGCAUGUCCCUUUCUUUAUCCUAGUCCCAAUGUCACAUGGUUCUGGGGCCUCAUCUUCAGUGCUAGAGUUUCAAGGAUUAUGUGUACUUGGAGGGGACAUCAGAUUUUCUGGCAAGACAAGUCUUUAGUCUUGGCGCUGUCCCAGAUGGAUCCUGUGCAAAAAGCGGUUAUUAACCAUACAUUUGGAGUAUCCAUUCCCCCAAAGAAGAAACAAGUUAUUUCUUGUAAUGUCUGUCAGCUUCGCUUUAACUCAGAUAGCCAGGCCGAGGCCCACUACAAAGGAAGUAAACAUGCCAAGAAGGUCAAAGCACUAGAGGCAACGAAAAAUAAACCCAAAAUGGUUCCUUCCAAGGACAGCGCAAAGGCUAAUCCCAGCUGCUCCAUCACUCCAAUCACAGGCAACAACUCUGACAAAUCAGAGCAUUUGGAAAACACCAGGAUAAAGCAUACCAGUGGUGUGAACAAGGAACGAGAAUUAAGAUCUAAAACCCAGGAGAGAGGAAAACAAAUCUCAGCCACAGCAUCUCUUCUUCAGUACAUACGUGGUGGUCUUUCUUCCUGUUUUCUCUGCUUCCUCUGCCUCUCUUUUACCCACCUCCUAGUACCUGUAGUCUAACAGUAUUGAUGUCACUCACUUCGUGACUGUACAGAUUUGGACUAGAAGUAAUAGAAACCACCUAUAUU
rnacentral:sRNA from 1 species